GAUACCUUUGAUCAGCGGUUCCUUGCCCGGUCGAGUUCACUUUACUUGAGUUGAGACACGUGUGUUCGUUACAUUAAAUAAGCUUUUAGAGUAACUGCCAUUAGUCUGAGCUUGUGACCUACACAACAACACAAAGGCGUCAACAAGCUGACUUGCUCUCGCCGCAGCACCCGGACGGUGGUCUCCUGGGUGAGACCUCUGACCCAUUAAAGCUCGCCUCCCGCAAAACCCCUCGCGAGCGUCUCCUCGCUGAAGGCUCCCUGGUGCGUAUCAGACACCGAGGGCCACCGACCUCUGACUGCGCCGACGCCGCGAGAGGCACACGGAGGACGUGAAAGCGCCUGCGGGCUGACGGGAAAGCUGCGGCGUGGCCCGCCGGAAGCAGUUAAAGAGUUAGAAGAUAAUCCUGAACAAAUACUGAAAAACAACCUCCACAACUCAGGGGGGGGGUCAGAGGUCGGGAGCGACGGUAAGACCCGGAGAGGCCUUUUGUGUUUGUGCCGUUGGGAGGAUGUGGAACAGACGGCGUGCGGUGGAGCAUGUGGUCCCUGUAGGAUGUGUCCUGUGGCUCAAGGGCCCGCAGUCCUCCCAAAUCGAAGACUUGUCCAGCCGUCCUCGGUGGACAAAGAAUGCUGAACCACAGCCGCUCACUCCUCCAUCACGGCGGAGUCCUCCGCGCUGCUUCGCGUGAAGGGGAUUCGUGGCUGCGUACUGACACCCUGCGGCCGCUGACUGGUGGUGCAGGAGGUCUUCAUGAAGUCUCAUGUGCUUUAAUCAGCACUGGGGCAUUUUUAACACGCUAUUUGGAAGCUGUUCUUAACCAGUGGUGAGGCUAUUGUAUUGUUUAUUUAAAUGUAAAGGACUUUGUAUCAAUGACACAGAUGUAUUUCAGCAAUUUCUCAUCCAGGGUUUUUCAUUUGUUGGCUUUUCCUGUGCCCAUGUGACGGUUUCGGGACAAAGGAUGUCGUGUGUCCUCUGAGGCAAAUUUGUAAUUUGCGAUUUUGCGCAAAAUAAAAUGAAUUGAAUUGAAUUUGCACAGUGCCACUUACACACAGUGCAUGAUAUAUACGGUAGGAUGCACAAUUAUUUAACUCAUUUUCUAUUUACAAAUUAUCCUUGAUGUGCAUCAAAUAAUCAAGACGUCGCGAGUCAUUCAUUAGAACACAAACCAGUGGACUAAGUUGCUUGGCUCUUUUUAUUCUCUUCCCUUCAGGCUGGUGAAGAAGAUGCACUUGACAUUGAGUGGCAGCAUGAGAUGAAGGCUUUCUUUACACUGGAGGAAGCGGAAGGUGCCGCAGCAUUAACCCCUUUAACCCCAACCAAACAAACCUUUUUAAGCCCAUUGAAAAUGUGGAGUUAAAUUUACACUGCAGUGCUGACUAUGUAACAUCGUACACACACAUAGCUUGCUGAUAGAUGUUGACUGCCGUUGUUGUUGCCAUGUAUGUGUGUCUCUUCUCA
ensembl:lncRNA